rnacentral:rRNA from 1 species
UACGUAGGCAGCAAGCGUUGUUCGGAAUUACUGGGCGUAAAGAGUGUGUAGGUGGUGUCGUAAGUUUGGUGUGAAAUCUCCCGGCUUAACUGGGAGGGUGCGCCGAAGACUGCGAUGCUGGAGUAUGGGAGAGGAAAGCGGAAUUCCUGGUGUAGCGGUGAAAUGCGUAGAUAUCGGGAGGAACACCAGUGGCGAAGGCGGCGACCUGGACGGACACUGACGCUGAGA